rnacentral:tRNA from 1 species
GAGGGUACAGCUCAGUGACAGAGAGUGUGCUUAGCAUGCACGAGGUCCAGGGUUCAAUCCCCAGUACCUCCA